UGCUCUGAGUAAGGGAGUUAUGUAGCUAGAAAACAGAAGUAGGAAGUAAACAUUUUUCAUGGUACACAUUUCACCACUAUUGAAUUUUAUAUCAUGAAUGUAUAUUAAUUUAUUCAGAAUUUAUAUAAGGUAAUUUAUUAUUAGAAAUACAUAAUUUUUCUGCUGACAUAAAAUAGUAUAUCUUAUGUUUAAUCCAAUAUUUGAGUGUUUCUCAAAGUUGAAUCUUAAGAAAGGGUUGUUUUUAUAAUGGACUUUUAAUGCAACUGUUAAAAAAUUGAGGUAGUUCUCUAUUACCCAUUAUAGCCUUCUCCAAGAAACCAGACUUUUGAAAAUAACUAGUUUGUACUCACUUGUUGGUGAAGGUCUUUAAGGAGUCUUUGUCAGAGAAAACAAUAUCAUUUUAUUUUAUUAGAUGUGUGCUAGAGAUAACACCUUUGGAAGGUGAAAUGAAAGACAUAAUGAAAUAAUUUGUAGAUAAGUACCCAUACCAAAGGACACCUUGUUGGAAUUCAAGAAAAGCUGCUGAGCAAGGAUUUUAUUUACAUUAUUGAAUGGAAUGCAUUCGUCAACUCUCUCAAGCACAAAACCUAAUGCCUUAAUUUAAAGGAUACGUUUGUGUAAAAUGCUGAUUAGAACAUUAUCAGAAUAUACCAUUAAAAUGCUAUUAAGGUUUUUCUCUUUACUACUGUAGAACACUUAUUUUGCUUUAAAUAUGACUCAUAUAAGAAUAAAGUGCUUCCAUUUUCUACUUGUCACAGGCCAGACGAGGUUAAUUUUAAUUAUGAUAUUCUGCACUUAAAUUUUUAUAGCCUACUGCCAAAUUUUAAAUUUCAAGUUUAUUCAUUUUUCUUUAUCUGCCUACAGUAAAAUCUAAAAUUAUUGAUUUUCCUAAAUAGAUAUCACUUGAAAGUUAUACUACAAAUUGAGCAUACAGACUACAAAAUGUUUCAGAGGAUAUUCUGUAAAAUAACUGACCCACAUUUUCAUAGCUAUUAUCCUAGUGUACACCUCUGCCAGUGUCUGUUAGCUAUCUAACUUUGAUUCUACUUUUCUACUUUAAAAGCCAAGUUGUCAUUUAUUAAAUGUCAAAGUGGUGCUAUGUGUUAGGCAUUAGAAGAUUUGAAAACGAAUAUCUAUGAAAUGAAAGGAGAAAACCUGGGGUACUUUAGUUUGAAAAGCAAAGUUUGAAAAAAAAAUAAUAAUGAUCAUCAAAAUUGGAAAAAAAUUUCAAAAUACAUAAAUACUGCA
rnacentral:lncRNA from 1 species